UCAAUGGACCCUAUGGGAAAGCUGGAAACACACAAGAGACAAUCAUGAGACUAUUGAAAAAAGAUGACAAAAUAAUACAGAUUCUGUCUGUCAGACAAAUAAUACAAAAAACGUCGGUUAUUUUUAUUUUUCGCUAAUCCCAAAAAAAAACGAUCGGUACUGUUCACAGAGAAUCAUGACAAAACGUAUUUACACAAAAGAGGACAAAAAAGAGAACCUGAGAAGAAGAAGAAGUAGAAGA